UCUCGUGCCUCCUGCUGACGGCGCUCCUUGGCCGUGUGUGCUGAGCGUCCCGGCUUCAAAGGAAUAUUUAACAGAGGGGAGAGCGUGGGGUGGGCAAGUUCCUGCUCUAAAUCUGGGAGGCUGCUUUAAUUGCUAGCUUAUCCCAUUAAAUGUUCUUAAAAUGGCUCGUGUCAGUUUUUGCAAGCCGGUGGAGCGGUGGCGGUGUCCUCCAGGAGCUGUUCCUUCGCAGAGGGCUGUGCCAGCAUCCCCAGAGUGAAUGUGUCUGCUCUGUCACCACUUUCAUCUGUUGGUGACUUCGGCCUUACCCAGCUGAGGUCUGCGUGUUGAGGAUUUCUGAGGCUGGGGCUGCAAAAAGACUCAGCUUGCUUGGGUUUCCUGGUGACUUGCUUCCAGGUCAGCGCGAGGGCUGAGCUGGGGCUGGCAGAGGUCCUUGGGGAAGCUGUCCCUGCCUCCAGUGACCCCAUCUCGGGUGUGCUGGGCUGCAGGGGCACGUGGCUGCCAUCGCUGCUGCUCUGGGAAGGGUUUGAAAGCCGGGCUGCUGCAGCCCCCUUGGUCUCAUCACACUUUGUUUGUGCGAGGCGAGGCGCCCAGCCUACGUGGCCGCUUUAUUGGUAGGGCGUGGAAAUGAAAGGCUGGCUGCGUGCGUGUGCACCCACACCCAUCGCUCCCCCAGGGAGACGGUGCCGUGGAUAAUAACCAGGCCUAAAUACCCCUCGUAACGCUGCUCAUUAGCAGAUAGGCCUUCCACAGGCAGGGGGGAGCUGAGUCAGUGCUGCCCUGUGCGACAAAUACCCGGAGGUGCUGACCGAGGGGCCGGGGAAGGGUUUCCAUCUGGAGCAGAUUUGGGGCUCUGAACCCAGGAGUCGAAGUCUGACAGUCCCUGGGACCGUGGCUCAGGUGAAACGGUGUCACUGGUGGACGUGGACAUCUCCCAGCGAGGACUGACCUCCCCUCACCCUCCAACGCCGCCGCCUCCUCCUCGACGAAGCCUCAGCCUGCUAGGUACGGCCCCGUGCCUCUGGAGAGCCCGUCCGUGUGUCUGUCAGGAGCACGGGAGCUGUCUGUCUGCCCGUGCUGCUCCCCUGCCCCAGCAGGAUUUCUUGCUGGUGUCGGUGUUUCUUGGAGAUGGGGCAGGAGGGGAGGGUUGUGGUGGAGCUGUGCGAGGUGGGACGUGAGGUGCUGG
rnacentral:lncRNA from 1 species